GGCGCUAUAGCCAAGUGGUUACGGCGACAGAUUAGAAUCAUAGAGUUGAUCAUCUGUUUCCCUUUGGGAGCGCAGGUUCGAAUCCUGCUGGCGUCG